rfam:Gossypium raimondii Chr01_contig_472, whole genome shotgun sequence.
AAACCAUGGUGAGGGCAUCUUUGUACCAGCGACUUGAAUCCUUCCCAAGCUUUGUGAAAGUUUUCUUUCUCUAAUUUCUUAAAUAUGGCAAUCUCUCUUCUCAGUUG